rnacentral:rRNA from 1 species
UACGGAGGGUGCAAGCGUUAAUCGGAAUUACUGGGCGUAAAGCGUGCGCAGGCGGUUUGUUAAGUCCGCUGUGAAAUCCCCGAGCUCAACUUGGGAAUUGCAGUGGAUACUGGCAAGCUGGAGUAUGGUAGAGGAAGGUGGAAUUCCCGGUGUAGCAGUGAAAUGCGUAGAGAUCGGGAGGAACACCAGUGGCGAAGGCGGCCUUCUGGACCAAUACUGACGCUCAUGCACGAAAGCGUGGGGGAGCAAACAGG